AAGUUUUAUUUACUACCAUGCCUUCUAGAUAUUUUUAUGACAAAUUACAAUGUUUUGAGGAAGAAAAAUCAUUGAAGAAAAAACUACUACUCUCAACAGCUAUAACAAUCAAGUAUUCAAAUAGAUUUAAAAAGAAGAGUUUUGAGUGAUUUAACAUUAUAUGAAUGUUUAAUAAAGAUGUUUGAGGACAAAUUGUGAAGAAUAAAUUCUAUAAAACGAGCUGUACAGUUUAAAAUAAUUCCUGCUCUAAUAUGUAUUACAAAAUUUAAACUGUUAUUAUGAUCACUAUUAUGAUUGGACUGAAUAUUUCGCAUCAUGAUAAUAACAGUUAACAAGGAGCAAUGAAUGAUUGAUAUAGGAAUGUAUCAAAGUUUUUAAGGAGAUUAUCUAUUUGGAAAAACUCAAGCCUUUCAAACUAAAUAUAGUCAGCAAAGAAGAGCUUCUAGAGAAACAACGAUAAGAAUAUCUUACGUCAACUAACAUAGAUUACACUCAGAGUGCUGUCACUGGAUAAGACUCUCCACUCAAGGCACACACCUGUAAAUUCAAACAAUCUAUCUUUUCGGUUUAUUGUACUAAGAAUGUACAAAUAGUUGAUUUUCUCAAAUAAAAAUUUAAAAAAAAUCAAAUUAAGUAAUAUAAUCUGAGUCAGAUCAUAUAUCUUUUAUGGAUCAUUAUAAGUGAUUUUUUUUCUCACUCUUAUUC